AUUGAACGCUGGCGGAAUGCUUUACACAGGCAAGUCGAACGGCAGCACGGACUUCGGGCUGGUGGCGAGUGGCGAACGGGUGAGUAACAUAACGGAACGUAUCCAACAAGGGGGGAUAACUAAUCGAAAGGUUGGCUAAUACCGCAUACGCCCUACGGGGGAAAGCAGGGGGUCUUCGGACCUUGCGUUAAUGGAGCGGCUGAUAUCUGAUUAGCUAGUUGGUGGGGUAAAGGCCUACCAAGGCGACGAUCAGUAGCUGGUCUGAGCGGACGACCAGCCACACUGGGACUGAGACACGGCCCAGACUCCUACGGGAGGAAGCAGUGGGGAAUUUUGGACAAUGGGCGAAAGCCUGAUCCAGCAAUGCCGCGUGUGCGAAGAAGGCCUUCGGGUUGUAAAGCACUUUUGUUUGGAAAGAAAAGGUUUGGGUUAAUACCCUGGACUGAUGACGGUACCAAUCGAAUAAGCACCGGCUAACUACGUGCCAGCCGCCGCCGUAA
rnacentral:rRNA from 1 species